rnacentral:rRNA from 1 species
AGAGUUUGAUCCUGGUUCAGAACGAACGCUGGCGGUAAGCCUAACACAUGCAAGUCGGACGGACACUAAGAGUAGCUUGCUAUUUCUGGUGUUAGUGGCGGACGGGUGAGUAAUGCAUAGGAAUCUACCUAGUAGUAUGGAAUAGUUACCGGAAACAGUAAGUAAUACCAUAUACGCCCUGAGGGGGAAAGAUUUAUCGCUAUUAGAUGAGCCUAUGUUGGAUUAGUUAGUUGGUGGGGUAAAUGCUUACCAAGACUGUGAUACAUAGCUGGCCUGAGAGGGUGAUCAGCCACACUGGAACUGAGAUACGGUCCAGACUCCUACGGGAGGCAGCAGUGAGGAAUAUUGGGCAAUGCACGAAAGUGUGACCCAGCUAUACCGCGUGAGUGACGAAGGCCUUAGGGUUGUAAAGCUCUUUCAGUUGGGAAGAUAAUGACGGUACCAACAGAAGAAGUCCUGGCUAACUCUGUGCCAGCAGCCGCGGUAAUACAGAGAGGGCAAGCGUUGUUCGGAAUUAUUGGGCGUAAAGCGUGCGUAGGUGGUUUUGUAAGUUGACGGUAAAAUCUCAGGGCUCAACCUUGAAAGCGCUGUCAAUACUGCAUGACUAGAGUGCAAAGUAGGAUAGUGGAAUUCCUAGUGUAGAGGUGAAAUUCGUAGAUAUUAGGAGGAACACCGGUGGCGAAGGCGGCUAUCUGGGUUGCUACUGACACUGAGGCACGAAAGCGUGGGGAGCAAACAGGAUUAGAUACCCUGGUAGUCCACGCAGUAAACGAUGAGCGCUAAGAGUCGGAUUUUUUUCGGUUCUGUAGCUAACGCGUUAAGCGCUCCGCCUGGGGAGUACGGUCGCAAGACUAAAACUCAAAGGAAUUGACGGGAACCUGCACAAGCGGUGGAGUAUGUUGUUUAAUUCGAUCAACGCGAAAAACCUUACCACCUUUUGACAUGGAAGCUAAGCCCUUUUGAAAGAAAGGAUUCGGUUCGGCCGGGCUUUACACAGGUGCUGCAUGGCUGUCGUCAGUUCGUGUCGUGAGAUGUUAGGUUAAGUCCUGCAACGAGCGCAACCCUUGUCUAUAUUUACCAACAGGUUUGGCUGGGCACUAUAUAGAGACUAUCAGCGAUAAGCUGGAGGAAGGUGGGGACGACAUCAAGUCAUCAUGGCCCUUAUAAGGUGGGCUACAAACGUACUACAAUGGCAGCUACAAUGAGAAGCAAUAUCGCAAGGUGGAGCAAAUCUUAAAAAGCUGCCUCAGUUCGGAUUGCGCUCUGAAACUCGAGCGCAUGAAGUAGGAAUCGCUAGUAAUCUGCGGAUCAGAACGCCGCGGUGAAUAAGUUCUCAGGUUUUGUACACACUGCCCGUCACGCCAUGGAAGUUGAUCACACCCAAAGAUGGUAGGCUAACCCGCAAGGGAGGCGGCCGUUCACGGUAGGGUUGGUGACUGGGGCGAAGUCGUAACAAGGUA